AUUGAACGCUGGCGGCAGGCCUAACACAUGCAAGUCGAGCGGAGCGGCGGACGGGUGAGUUAUGCCUAGGAAUCUGCCUGUUAGUGGGGGAUAACGUCCGGAAACGGGCGCUAAUACCGCAUACUAUCACAUGAGCCUAGGUCGGAUUAGCUAGUUGGUGGGGUAAAGGCCUACCAAGGCGACGAUCCGUAACUGGUCUGAGAGGAUGAUCAGUCACACUGGAACUGAGACACGGUCCAGAAUGCUACGGGAGGCAGCAGUGGGGAAUAUUAGGCAAUGGGCGAAAGGCUGAGCCAGGCAUGACGCGUGUGUGAAGAAGGUCUUCGGAUUGUAGAACACUUUCAGCGGGGAGGCGGUACCCGCAGAAGAAGCACCGGCUAACUCCGUGCCAGCAGCCGCGGUAAUAC
rnacentral:rRNA from 1 species